rnacentral:rRNA from 1 species
UACGAGGGGGGCAAGCGUUUGUCCGGAAUUAUUGGGCGUAAAGGGCUCGUAGGCGGUUUGUCGCGUCGGGAGUGAAAACUCAGGGCUUAACCCUGAGCCUGCUUCCGAUACGGGCAGACUAGAGGUAUGCAGGGGAGAACGGAAUUCCUGGUGUAGCGGUGAAAUGCGCAGAUAUCAGGAGGAACACCGGUGGCGAAGGCGGUUCUCUGGGCAUUACCUGACGCUGAGGAGCGAAAGUGUGGGGAGCGAACAGG